AUUCCAGCUCCAAUAGCGUAUAUUAAAGUUGUUGCAGUUAAAAAGCUCGUAGUUGGAUUUCUGGCGGGGACCCGGGUACCCCUGGUGGGUGUGCUCGGGCCCGGCCAUCCUUCUGUCAACUUUCGCGCGUCCUUCACCGGUCGGCAAAGGGAUCAGAUAAUUUACCUUGAGAAAAUUAGAGUGUUUCAGGCAGGCUUAGCCGGAAUACAUUAGCAUGGAAUAAUGGAAUAGGACUGAGGUCUCGUUGUUGGUUACGCGGACUACAGUAAUGAUUAAUAGGGACAGUUGGGGGCAUUAGUAUUUAUUAGCUAGAGGUGGAAUUCUCUAAUUUGAUAAAGACUAACUUAUGCGAAAGCAUUUGCCAAGGAUGUUUUCAUUA
rnacentral:rRNA from 1 species